rnacentral:lncRNA from 1 species
GGGGGUGGUGGGGUGUGGGGGGAUGGGGGGGUGUGGCCCCUCCCUGGGCGCACCCUGUGCCGACUGAGCCAGCACUCCAACGGCUGCUGGUCCCGCGGUUCGAGUCUGUGCUUUACUUCCACUGCCACAGUUCCCAGCUGAAACUUCCAGAGAGAGCCAGGCUGAAAUGGACCUGA